CAUGGCUGAAUUAGUGAUUGGCUGUGUUUACAUUCACUCUAUCUGGAGAUAAUUAUGUCACUAAGUACACAAGAAAUCGCUGCAAUCGUAGCAGACUAUGC
rnacentral:ncRNA from 1 species